rnacentral:rRNA from 1 species
CUAGCAUGUGCGCAAGUCAUUGGGUAUUUAUAAUAAACCUAAAGGCGUAAUGAAAGUAAAUAUAUAUAUAUAAUUUUUAUAAUUAUAUUUUAUAAAGGGAAGAUGGGUAACGUUAUUUAUGUUACCUCGCAUUCCCGGGGCGUCGCAUACUUAUUGCAAGUUGCGGCGCACCAAGAGCGUACACGCUGGGACCCGAAAGAUGGUGAACUAUGCCUGGUCAGGAUGAAGUCAGGGGAAACCCUGAUGGAGGUCCGUAGCGAUUCUGACGUGCAAAUCGAUCGUAUGAACUGGGUAUAGGGGCGAAAGACUAAUCGAACCAUC